rnacentral:rRNA from 1 species
UAUGUUGAAAGAUUUAUCGCUACCGGAUUGGCGUCGCGUACCAUUAGCUAGUUGGCGGGUAACGGCCCACCAAGGCGACGAUGGUUAGGGGUUCUGAGACGGAAGGUCCCCCCACAUUGGAACUGAGACACGGUCCAGACUCCUACGGGGAGGCAGCAGUGAGGAAUAUUGGUCAAUGGCCGAGAGGCUGAACCAGCCAUGCCGCGUGCGGGAGGACGGCCCUAUGGGUUGUAAACCGUCUUUUUUGAGGGAGCAAUAAGUCCCACGUGUGGGAUGAUGAGAGUACCUUGAGAAUAAGCAUCGGCUAACUCCGUGCC